rnacentral:rRNA from 1 species
CAGUCGUACCGGCGGAAAAUCAGCUCUUCGAGUGCGAACUUGUGGGCGUACGUGAGCUUUAACCGGCCUCGUUGUUCGCGAUGUUUGUGCUUUUUUGGGUGUUACUUUUUCGUAUGGUAGGCCAACGUCAGUCUCGGUCACCAUAAAAUGAUUAGAGGAAUGUAGCUUCGAUCUUGUAUUGAAGUGUUAUAGCCUCUGGUAGAUGUGGUGAACGAAACUGAGGAUUGCAACGAAUACCCGUCCGGCUAUCCGUCUGGCCUCUGAAAGUUGCUUAGGUGCCGGAAAGCGUGCUUACGGCUAUUUAAGUUG